CGGACUAGGUGAGUAAUGCGUGACCAACCUGCCCCAUGCUCCAGAAUAGCUCUUGGAAACGGGUGGUAAUGCUGGAUGCUCCAACUUGACGCAUGUCUUGUUGGGAAAGUGUUUAGUGGCAUGGGAUGGGGUCGCGUCCUAUCAGCUUGUAGGCGGGGUAAUGGCCCACCUAGGCUUCGACGGGUAGCCGGCCUGAGAGGGCGGACGGCCACAUUGGGACUGAGAUACGGCCCAGACUCCUACGGGAGGCAGCAGGU
rnacentral:rRNA from 1 species